CCACACUUUUAGAUAAUAGUCAGAAUUUUUCAAAAAGAAAUGCCUCCUCCUAUCACACGUCGACGCAUGGAAAAAGAAUAAAUAACAAUAAAGUAAUAAUAAAAAAUAGAAAACAUAUACACACACGUUGGAGAGAGGGACCUUCAUCCCCUUUUUCUCUUUCAAUUUGGUCUCCCCUUUUUUAAAUUUACAGCAACACAACAAAAAAUUGGAAGAAUUGAUUCAUUUUCCAUCUCCCUUCUCAGCUUUACCUCUCUCCAUCCAUAACUCACACCAAAAUUUCAAAAGUAAGACCCAUGAGCCAACAUCGGAGGGUGGCAUGGUGGCAGAUUCAUCGGAGGAAUCAGAGUCGGUGCUCAGCGGUAGUGUUGGAUGACCGGACGCGACUUCCGAUGUGGUCGCGAAUCUGCAGUUAUGGUCGGAGUAAAGCAGAAUCGCGACGACUAUGUUGGGAUGUCUUGUGCACGAAGAUUCAAAGUGUUGUUGAAGAAAUUAUCAAUUUUCAUGGUAAUGAAUGGGUGAUUGGUAUAAAGAUUUUGAUGGUUUGUGAA